rnacentral:rRNA from 1 species
UACGUAGGGCCCGAGCGUUGUCCGGAAUCAUUGGGCGUAAAGAGCGUGUAGGCGGCUCUUUAAGUCCUGCGUGAAAUCCUGCGGCUCAACCGCAGACGGUCGUGGGAAACUGGAUGGCUAGAGUGCGGGAGAGGAGAGUGGAAUUCCCGGUGUAGCGGUGAAAUGCGCAGAUAUCGGGAAGAACACCCGUGGCGAAGGCGGCUCUCUGGAACGCAACUGACGCUGAGACGCGAAAGCGUGGGGAGCAAACAGG